UUGAACGCUGGCGGCAUGCCUUACACAUGCAAGUCGAACGGUAACGGGCCUUCGGGUGCCGACGAGUGGCGAACGGGUGAGUAAUACAUCGGAACGUGCCCGAUCGUGGGGGAUAACGAGGCGAAAGCUUUGCUAAUACCGCAUACGAUCUACGGAUGAAAGCAGGGGACUGCAAGGCCUUGCGCGGACGGAGCGGCCGAUGGCAGAUUAGGUAGUUGGUGGGAUAAAAGCUUACCAAGCCGACGAUCUGUAGCUGGUCUGAGAGGAUGAUCAGCCACACUGGGACUGAGACACGGCCCAGACUCCUACGGGAGGCAGCAGUGGGGAAUUUUGGACAAUGGGCGCAAGCCUGAUCCAGCCAUGCCGCGUGCAGGAUGAAGGCCUUCGGGUUGUAAACUGCUUUUGUACGGAACGAAAAGCCUUCUUUUAAUACAGGAGGGUCAUGACGGUACCGUAAGAAUAAGCACCGGCUAACUACGUG
rnacentral:rRNA from 1 species